GAUGAACGCUGGCGGCGUGCUUAACACAUGCAGGUCGAACGGUGAAAGCGGAGCUUGCUCUGCUGGAUCAGUGGCGAACGGGUGAGUAACACGUGAGCAAUCUGUCCCUGACUCUGGGAUAAGCGCUGGAAACGGCGUCUAAUACCGGAUACGAGCUGCGAAGGCAUCUUCAGCAGCUGGAAAGAACUUCGGUCAGGGAUGAGCUCGCGGCCUAUCAGCUAGUUGGUGAGGUAACGGCUCACCAAGGCGUCGACGGGUAGCCGGCCUGAGAGGGUGACCGGCCACGCUGGGACUGAGACACGGCCCAGACUCCUACGGGAGGCAGCAGUGGGGAAUAGUGCACAAUGGGCGAAAGCCUGAUGCAGCAACGCCGCGUGAGGGACGACGGCCUUCGGGUUGUAAACCUCUUUUAGCAGGGAAGAAGCGAAAGUGACGGUACCUGCAGAAAAAGCGCCGGCUAACUACGUGCCAGCAGCCGCCGUAA
rnacentral:rRNA from 1 species